rnacentral:rRNA from 1 species
GUGUCAGCAGCCGCGGUAAUACGGAGGGGGCUAGCGUUGUUCGGAAUUACUGGGCGUAAAGCGCGCGUAGGCGGUUUGCCAAGUCAGAGGUGAAAGCCCGGGGCUUAACCUCGGAAUUGCCUUUGAGACUGGCAGGCUUGAGUACGGGAGAGGUAAGUGGAAUUCCGAGUGUAGAGGUGAAAUUCGUAGAUAUUCGGAAGAACACCCGUGGCGAAGGCGGCUUACUGGACCGUUACUGACGCUGAGGCGCGAAAGCGUGGGGAGCAAACAGGAUUAGAUACCCUGGUAGUCCACGCUGUAAACGAUGUAUGCUAGUUGUCGGGCGGCUUGCCGUUCGGUGACGCAGCUAACGCAUUAAGCCCUCCGCCUGGGGAGUACGGUCGCAAGAUUAAAACUUAAAUGAAUUGGCGGGG